rnacentral:rRNA from 1 species
GAUGAACGCUGGCGGCGUGCCUAAUACAUGCAAGUCGAGCGAACGGACGAGAAGCUUGCUUUUCUGAUGUUAGCGGCGGACGGGUGAGUAACACGUGGAUAACCUACCUAUAAGACUGGGAUAACUUCGGGAAACCGGAGCUAAUACCGGAUAAUAUUUUGAACCGCAUGGUUCAAAAGUAAAAGACGGUCUUGCUGUCACUUAUAGAUGGAUCCGCGCUGCAUUAGCUAGUUGGUAAGGUAACGGCUUACCAAGGCAACGAUGCAUAGCCGACCUGAGAGGGUGAUCGGCCACACUGGAACUGAGACACGGACCAGACUCCUACGGGAGGCAGCAGUAGGGAAUCUUCCGCAAUGGGCGAAAGCCUGACGGAGCAACGGCGCGUGAGUGAUGAAGGUCUUCGGAUCGUAAAACUCUGUUAUUAGGGAAGAACAUAUGUGUAAGUAACUGUGCACAUCUUGACGGUACCUAAUCAGAAAGCCACGGCUAACUACGUG